AACGAACGCUGGCGGCAUGCCUAACACAUGCAAGUCGAACGAGACCUUCGGGUCUAGUGGCGCACGGGUGCGUAACGCGUGGGAAUCUGCCCUUGGGUUCGGAAUAACUCGCCGAAAGGCGUGCUAAUACCGGAUGAUGUCGUAAGACCAAAGAUUUAUCGCCCAGGGAUGAGCCCGCGUAAGAUUAGGUAGGUGGUGAGGUAAAGGCUCCCCAAGCCGACGAUCUCUAGCUGGUCUGAGAGGAUGAGCAGCCACACUGGGACUGAGACACGGCCCAGACUCCUACGGGAGGCAGCAGUGGGGAAUAUUGGACAAUGGGCGAAAGCCUGAUCCAGCAAUGCCGCGUGAGUGAUGAAGGCCUUAGGGUUGUAAAGCUCUUUUACCCGGGAUGAUAAUGACAGUACCGGGAGAAUAAGCUCCGGCUAACUCCGUGCCAGCCGCCGCCGUAA
rnacentral:rRNA from 1 species